rnacentral:snRNA from 1 species
AGGUGAGUACCAACGAUACGCGU